rnacentral:piRNA from 1 species
UGUAGUUGUUUUACCUGCAUGGAUGU